CAGUACCAAUCAGAAAGUCACCACGUUUCAGAAAAUAUUGAGGGAUACCUAUGAUAUCCGCACAACUGUUCGCAAGGAAAUGGGCCAAGAUAUAAGUGGUGCCUGUGGUCAAUUGGUGGUUAAUCUACCAGAUAAGCGCUCCAUCAGCAGCGCCGCUCCUCUAACAGACAUUGAGGAUCUCCAUAGGCAGCAGAGUUAAAGAAAUUCUAUUUAAAAAGGAGAGACGAUUAGCAGCUCUAUCUACAGGGAUAUAUGUAGCUUUCAGUCUUGACCGCAAGUUGACGUUGGUCCCUGCUAUUAGUUGAAGGGGAGAUGUGAACGGCGCAUCACAGGCUCAAGGGAGAUGUAUACGACACAUGACAAGCCGUCUUUCUAAUGUUUCCUUUGUUUUUUCAUGGAAAAUGUAAAUUCUUUUUUAUUAGAAAUCGCACUGAAGAGGCCUGGACGUGUACGAGAAUAUGUUCAAAGAGAUGUGAGCACUAAAAUAUUUGGGAAAAUGCAUAGGUACCCCCAAACUUAUCUCGUAUUUGCUGUUACACACUUGUACUUUAUGGGAUCCUAUUACCCUCUUCAACAUUUUCGAAGUGAAAUAAAUACCCCCUUCAACAUUUUCGAAGUGAAAUAAAUACCCCCUUGAAAAGUCUCAA